AUUGAACGCUGGCGGCAUGCCUUACACAUGCAAGUCGAACGGCAGCACGGGAGCAAUCCUGGUGGCGAGUGGCGAACGGGUGAGUAAAGUAUCGGAACGUGCCCAGUCGUGGGGGAUAACGUAGCGAAAGUUACGCUAAUACCGCAUACGAUCUAUGGAUGAAAGCGGGGGAUCGCAAGACCUCGCGCGAUUGGAGCGGCCGAUAUCAGAUUAGGUAGUUGGUGGGGUAAAGGCUCACCAAGCCGACGAUCUGUGGCUGGUCUGAGAGGACGACCAGCCACGCUGGGACUGAGACACGGCCCAGACUCCUACGGGAGGCAGCAGUGGGGAAUUUUGGACAAUGGGCGCAAGCCUGAUCCAGCCAUGCCGCGUGCAGGAUGAAGGCCUUCGGGUUGUAAACUGCUUUUGUACGGAACGAAAAGGUUUGACUUAAUACGUUGGACUCAUGACGGUACCGUAAGAAUAAGCACCGGCUAACUACGUGCCAGCAGCCGCCGUAAUAC
rnacentral:rRNA from 1 species